rnacentral:rRNA from 1 species
AAACUUUCAACAACGGAUCUCUUGGUUCUGGCAUCGAUGAAGAACGCAGCGAAAUGCGAUAAGUAAUGUGAAUUGCAGAAUUCAGUGAAUCAUCGAAUCUUUGAACGCACAUUGCGCCCGCCAGUAUUCUGGCGGGCAUGCCUGUCCGAGCGUCAUUG